rnacentral:lncRNA from 1 species
AGUCCACUGCACACCGUUCUCCUCUCCAGACCUCUCACUGGCAAGUCCUUUCAUCUCAAUUUCAGUUCUGUGAGGCCGUCCUACUAUUGUCUAUCACCCUGUUUGAUUUUUUUGUAGCCUCAUCAUUUAUUCAUUACAGUUUCUUAAGUUCUUUUUUUUAGGGAGCUUGUCAUUGCCUAGAAGAGUGCUGGGCACACAAUAGUGAUACUGAAUAUACAACUAAAAUCAUGUAAUAUAGCACAUGAGAUUCUUAAUGCUAAAAUUAAGACUUUUUAACAUGAAAAAUGCUCUUAAGGGCAGAAAUGAAGCAAAUUUCAGGCAAGAUGGCAGACAAGACUGAAACGGAUUCAUCCAUCAACUGCUACAGACUUAAAAAACAAAAUAUGCCCAAUGCAAAGCUGAGCUCAGGAAAUCCUCAGAUGCUAGAGAUAAAGACAAAAUCCAGUUGCAGAAGUGAGUUCCAGGUGAUGCCAGGAGACCCCAGGAAGUAUCAGAUUAGGUCACAAAACUAGGAAUAAGGUUUUAAUGUCUUCAGAAAAACAGAGCAUUUGGUGAGAGAAGGGAACUAAUCCGAGACUCCCGCAUACAACCAGGACACUUGAAGGGCUGCCUCACCUGUGAAAAAGAAACUGGAAAAAUCUCUUCAAAUCUGUCUGUGGAAACAGAAAGACAGCCUGGUGUUUGACAAAGCUCUCGGUGGGACAAACCUCCUCUGAGAAAUGGAAACCUAGGAAAUCAAAAGCCCAGAAAUUAAGGGAAAGCAUUAGUCUCAGAUAAUGAAAAGGAAACCCUUGGGGCCCGGGCCAAAGCAAAUGUAAAAACAUGAACACUUGCAUAAUCUCGUACAUGGGACUCACAGAAAAUGCAACCCCUAAUAUAGAUGAGCUCGCAAUGAAAAAUUAUCCACCACUGUGGCAAUGCAGUCACCAAAAGGAAGACUCAACAGACCAAUGAGCAUAGACACGAGCUGUGGAGGUAACAACUGGAAACAGAAGAAUAAAAUCUCAAGAUAAAUAAUUUAAAAAUACUUAACAUGGAAAAAUAUUUCACUUAAAAAAUAUAACUUUUAGAAAAAAUAUAGUAUCAUUAACUUAAAAAUUCAGUAGCUAGGUUGAACAAUAAAUUCACCACAAAUGAAAAGAGAAUUAGAGAUCUGGAUCACGGAGCUGGAAGAUGAAUGCAGAGGCAGCACAGGGAGGUAAAGCAAUGGAAAAGAUCGCAGGGAGUCCCAAGACCCGGGAUGCUCCCUCGAGUCACUCACAGGAGCUCCAGAGGAAAGGACAGAUCAUGGGGAAAGGCAAUAUUUGAAGCAACAAUGACUGGGAAUUUUUCAUAAUUAAGAAAGAUGUAAAUAUUCAGAGGGAAAAUGCAGAUCUAGACACUUUUCAGAAACACUAUGAAACUCCAAAGUCAAGGAAAAGAUUAAAAGCAACUAGAAACAAAAGACAGUUUACAAUAAAAGAUCCAAAUUAGAUGGAAAUUACAUGUCUCAUUAAUAAAAUAGAGGUCAGAGAAAAGGGUAAAAAAUGUUCAACAUGCUCAAAGAACAAAAGUUAUUCAUCUACAAUACAACUUAGUAAAAUUAUCAUUCAAAAAUAAAGACAAAUCAAAUGUAUUUGACUAAGACUGAAGGGUAUUUUUUUAACCCCUGGAUCAUCAACUUUACCAAAGGAUAAAAUUUAUUAAAAAUAUGAUCAGCUUGUCGAAAGAAUGAAUCAAUGACACUCUGUCUUCGUGGAGAGCAGCCUGGGUGUGGAAUCAGGCACCCCCGGGUUCAAAGCCAUCACUGUGAUUGAAGAACAGAAGUCAUUCGUGAAGGACACAGCACACACAGCCCAGAGAGCUCGCAGGUUAAAACUGCACAUGGAGCAAUGUCUGCCAGCCAUUCAGGGUACUUCAAAAUAGGUCAGAAUACGUUUCCAGAAAGUGACACCUUCUUUUUGGGUUUGCGUAUAAUAAUAAAUCUAGG